CAUGGGGUUGCAAAGAGACGGACACAGCUGAGCAACUAAGCACAGCACAGCACGUGGUAGUUUUAUUCCCAGUUUUAAAGGAAAUCUCCAUACUGUUCUCCAUAGUGGCUGUAUCAGCUUUCAUUCUCACAAACAGUAUAGGAGGAUUCCCUUUUCUCCACAUCCACUCCAACAUUUAUUGUGCGUAGCUUUCCAAUGAUGACCAUUCUGACCGCUGUGACAAGAUACCUAAUUGUGGCUCUGAUUUGCAUUUUUCUGACGAUGAGUGAGGUUGAGCAUCUUUUCAUAUCUUUGUUGACAGGUUCCGUUUUUACUCUGGAAGUAAUCGACACUUGAACAUCACUGUAUAGUUCUCAAAAGGUUUUUUUUUUUUUGGUAAUCUAAAUGAAGGCAGCAAAAAGGAGUCAUUAUCGCAGAAUAGGAUCAUCAUCCUCUUCAAUUCAGGAAACUAAGUCACGCAGACUGUGUCUCCACCUGGUGCCAUCAACCCAUGGAGGGAACUGCCAGUUCCUGUGAUGGCCAGUGGAAGGAGUGACCCCACUGCUGCUUCUACUUGCUACAGAUUCAACUGUGACGACUGACUUCCUUCACUACAACUCCUCUGAGCAGAACACACCUAAAUAUGAAAUGAAGUGUGUGCCUGUGGUAUAAGGAAUCGGGAGGCACGCCAAAGCACAGGAAGGGUUUUUAGUGGCUGCAAGACAGCGCUGGAGAUGACCCAGCUGCCAUGGUGCUCUGGAGACAACUGGGAAUGAAAGUCUGGCUGGCUCCACCUGUGUCCAGCAUCGUGGCAGUCAUCUGCUUGCAGGGGACAGUCCCCAUCAUCCCUAACCAAUCCAGCCACAGUUGGAGGAGACAUAGCAUCUGGUCCCUGCUUAGAACUACUUCCUCAAUGAAUGAAGGACCGGGACUCAAGGUAAAUUCUCAGUCAAUAAAGCGUAGCUCUUCGUGGACCAGUUACUUUUGUGUUAAUAAUGACACAGGAGAAUGGAGUAAGCAGGAUAUCUGUGGAAUCAGAUUAUCUUCCCUUUUGGGGUGGGGAUUGGAGUGCAUGUUUCCUAUGACCCCUAAUUCUGGAAACUCCUGAUCAAAGAGGCUGCAAGGUUCAUUACACACAUGUGGGUCACACUGUUGCCUCAUCAGCCACAGUUGUAGCCUCACAGUGGAACUGGGGUCAAGAUCCUGAGAGCACCAUUCAGGUCACUUAACGUAUCCAAAGGACCAAGUG
rnacentral:lncRNA from 1 species